GUUAAGCGACUAAGCGUACACGGUGGAUGCCCUGGCAGUCAGAGGCGAUGAAGGACGUGCUAAUCUGCGAUAAGCGUCGGUAAGGUGAUAUGAACCGUUAUAACCGGCGAUUUCCGAAUGGGGAAACCCAGUGUGAUUCGUCACACUAUCAUUAACUGAAUCCAUAGGUUAAUGAGGCGAACCGGGGGAACUGAAACAUCUAAGUACCCCGAGGAAAAGAAAUCAACCGAGAUUCCCCCAGUAGCGGCGAGCGAACGGGGAGGAGCCCAGAGCCUGAAUCAGUGUGUGUGUUAGUGGAAGCGUCUGGAAAGGCGCGCGAUACAGGGUGACAGCCCCGUACACAAAAAUGCACAUGCUGUGAGCUCGAUGAGUAGGGCGGGACACGUGGUAUCCUGUCUGAAUAUGGGGGGACCAUCCUCCAAGGCUAAAUACUCCUGACUGACCGAUAGUGAACCAGUACCGUGAGGGAAAGGCGAAAAGAACCCCGGCGAGGGGAGUGAAAAAGAACCUGAAACCGUGUACGUACAAGCAGUGGGAGCACGCUUAGGCGUGUGACUGCGUACCUUUUGUAUAAUGGGUCAGCGACUUAUAUUCUGUAGCAAGGUUAACCGAAUAGGGGAGCCGAAGGGAAACCGAGUCUUAACUGGGCGUUAAGUUGCAGGGUAUAGACCCGAAACCCGGUGAUCUAGCCAUGGGCAGGUUGAAGGUUGGGUAACACUAACUGGAGGACCGAACCGACUAAUGUUGAAAAAUUAGCGGAUGACUUGUGGCUGGGGGUGAAAGGCCAAUCAAACCGGGAGAUAGCUGGUUCUCCCCGAAAGCUAUUUAGGUAGCGCCUCGUGAAUUCAUCUCCGGGGGUAGAGCACUGUUUCGGCAAGGGGGUCAUCCCGACUUACCAACCCGAUGCAAACUGCGAAUACCGGAGAAUGUUAUCACGGGAGACACACGGCGGGUGCUAACGUCCGUCGUGAAGAGGGAAACAACCCAGACCGCCAGCUAAGGUCCCAAAGUCAUGGUUAAGUGGGAAACGAUGUGGGAAGGCCCAGACAGCCAGGAUGUUGGCUUAGAAGCAGCCAUCAUUUAAAGAAAGCGUAAUAGCUCACUGGUCGAGUCGGCCUGCGCGGAAGAUGUAACGGGGCUAAACCAUGCACCGAAGCUGCGGCAGCGACACUGUGUGUUGUUGGGUAGGGGAGCGUUCUGUAAGCCUGCGAAGGUGUGCUGUGAGGCAUGCUGGAGGUAUCAGAAGUGCGAAUGCUGACAUAAGUAACGAUAAAGCGGGUGAAAAGCCCGCUCGCCGGAAGACCAAGGGUUCCUGUCCAACGUUAAUCGGGGCAGGGUGAGUCGACCCCUAAGGCGAGGCCGAAAGGCGUAGUCGAUGGGAAACAGGUUAAUAUUCCUGUACUUGGUGUUACUGCGAAGGGGGGACGGAGAAGGCUAUGUUGGCCGGGCGACGGUUGUCCCGGUUUAAGCGUGUAGGCUGGUUUUCCAGGCAAAUCCGGAAAAUCAAGGCUGAGGCGUGAUGACGAGGCACUACGGUGCUGAAGCAACAAAUGCCCUGCUUCCAGGAAAAGCCUCUAAGCAUCAGGUAACAUCAAAUCGUACCCCAAACCGACACAGGUGGUCAGGUAGAGAAUACCAAGGCGCUUGAGAGAACUCGGGUGAAGGAACUAGGCAAAAUGGUGCCGUAACUUCGGGAGAAGGCACGCUGAUACGUAGGUGAAGUCCCUCGCGGAUGGAGCUGAAAUCAGUCGAAGAUACCAGCUGGCUGCAACUGUUUAUUAAAAACACAGCACUGUGCAAACACGAAAGUGGACGUAUACGGUGUGACGCCUGCCCGGUGCCGGAAGGUUAAUUGAUGGGGUCAGCGCAAGCGAAGCUCUUGAUCGAAGCCCCGGUAAACGGCGGCCGUAACUAUAACGGUCCUAAGGUAGCGAAAUUCCUUGUCGGGUAAGUUCCGACCUGCACGAAUGGCGUAAUGAUGGCCAGGCUGUCUCCACCCGAGACUCAGUGAAAUUGAACUCGCUGUGAAGAUGCAGUGUACCCGCGGCAAGACGGAAAGACCCCGUGAACCUUUACUAUAGCUUGACACUGAACAUUGAGCCUUGAUGUGUAGGAUAGGUGGGAGGCUUUGAAGUGUGGACGCCAGUCUGCAUGGAGCCGACCUUGAAAUACCACCCUUUAAUGUUUGAUGUUCUAACGUUGACCCGUAAUCCGGGUUGCGGACAGUGUCUGGUGGGUAGUUUGACUGGGGCGGUCUCCUCCUAAAGAGUAACGGAGGAGCACGAAGGUUGGCUAAUCCUGGUCGGACAUCAGGAGGUUAGUGCAAUGGCAUAAGCCAGCUUGACUGCGAGC
rnacentral:rRNA from 1 species